AUGUUGCCAGUCUUCGACUAUAUUUGAUCUGUGGAAAAGAUGCAAAGAGAAAGUUACAGUCGGUGCGACUGCAAGCCAUCACAGUUGACCAGGUUGUACAUGAGAAUUUUGCCAUAUAUAUAUAUAUAUAUAAUCUCGGUGGUUGGUGUAGUCAAGAUGUCUUCAUCAAUUAUAAGCGAUGGCUAUUGAUGAGGUCACAAACUCGGAUAAUGUUUGUGUUGCACAGCUAAGCUAACCUUUUGACCCACGAAAUGUAAACCUAGGAAUCAAUCACAGUAUUGGUGGACUUCUAGAAGUAUGCUUCUUUUUGCGAGCGAGACAUGGCUGAUCGUGACCGGCAACCGGUGACUCUCUCCCUCUUUCUAGUUGUCACGUCGUUGCCGACGGGUCGAGUUCUUUCUGCCCGCACGUUUCCCACGCCGCCCCCCCCCCGACCACCUUCUCCCGUUCCUACCUCCACCUCGCGUCUUCAACACACCUCUCACGAAAGAUUUAGGUGAGGGAGGAAAAAAGGAUUCAUUGAAUCAUCAACAUAUAACAUCACGUUUUAUAGAAUGUUUUACGAUACUCCAAUCCUUAUAGAUAUGUAUAUUUGUAUGUAGCUUACCUCUGCCUGUUUCCUUCCGUCUCUAUCCUUUGCGGGUGCAUGGAUUGGAUUCCGGAGGAGGAUGAAUCCUCUGAAGGAAUCUCGGAGGGAAGUGGAGACUCCGUCGCCGAUGCGAUCGCGAUGGCGCCUUCAGAAACCAUGGCGUACGACAGCGACGACGCGGAGUCCUGCUGCGGCGGCGACGAUGAAGGCGGUGCUGCCGUAGGUAAAGGCGAGGUGGAAGAAAGGUGCGUGUCGUGGAGAUGCUGGCUGGUGGAGCGCGCGCCCGAGUACGAGGUGGGGAAGGUGGACGACCGACGAGGAGCGAACGAGCCAGCUGCGGCGGCGUCGGACGCGGAGAGCGCUAGGCUGUUCUGGGAGGCCUGCCUUGCCCAUGGCUACCCAUGACUCCUGAGUUCCCGACGUCUCUCUCU
rnacentral:lncRNA from 1 species